rnacentral:rRNA from 1 species
CCUACGGGGGGCAGCAGUGGGGAAUAUUGGGCAAUGGGCGAAAGCCUGAACCAGCAACGCCGCGUGAGGGAAGAAGGCUUUCGGGUUGUAAACUUCUUUUCUGAGGGACGAAGAAAGUGACGGUACCUCAGGAAUAAGCCACGGCUAACUACGUGCCAGCAGCCGCGGUAAUACGUAGGGGGCAAGCGUUAUCCGGAUUUAUUGGGUGUAAAGGGCGUGUAGGCGGGAAAGCAAGUCAGAUGUGAAAGCUCAGGGCUCAACCCUGAGCCUGCAUUUGAAACUGUUUUUCUUUAGUGCUGGAGAGGCAAGCGGAAUUCCGUGUGUAGCGGUGAAAUGCGUAGAGAUACGGAGGAACACCAGUGGCGAAGGCGGAUUGCUGGACAGUAACUGACGCUGAGGCACGAAAGCGUGGGGAGCAAACAGGAUUAGAUACCCUUGUAGUC